CUCCAUAUGUGAUUUUAAGGGAGAAUGGUUCCCUGGUCAUGGAAAAGCAUGUUCUUGUUGACUGGCAAACUGCCGCCGUUUAACUGAUAUUGGACUGGGACUUGUACAAGGAGAAUUC